rnacentral:rRNA from 1 species
AUGAACGCUGGCGGCGUGCUUAACACAUGCAAGUCGAACGAAGCACUUUAUUUGAUUUCCUUCGGGACUGAUUAUUUUGUGGCUGAGUGGCGGACGGGUGAGUAACGCGUGGGUAACCUGCCUUGUACAGGGGGAUAACAGUUGGAAACGGCUGCUAAUACCGCAUAAGCGCACAGCAUCGCAUGAUGCAGUGUGAAAAACUCCGGUGGUAUAAGAUGGACCCGCGUUGGAUUAGCUAGUUGGUGAGGUAACGGCCCAACCAGGCGAAGAUCCAUAGCCGAACCGAGAGGGGGAACCGGCAAAAUGGGAACGGAGACACGGCCCAAACUCCAACGGAAGGCAGCAGGGGGAAAAAUUGAAAAAUGGCCAAAGGCCUAAGGAGGCGAGGCGGGGUAGGCGAAGAGGAAUUUCGGAAGGUAAAGCUCUAUAGGAGGGAAGAAUAAUAACGGUACCGAAUAAGAAGCACCGGCUAAAUACGUG